rnacentral:rRNA from 1 species
AACCUACGGGGGGCAGCAGUGAGGAAUAUUGGUCAAUGGUCGGGAGACUGAACCAGCCAAGCCGCGUGAGGGAGGAAGGUACAGAGUAUCGUAAACCUCUUUUGUCAGGGAACAAAGACUGGGACGCGUCCCCGGAUGAGUGUACCUGAAGAAAAAGCACCGGCUAACUACGUGCCAGCAGCCGCGGUAAUACGUAGGGUGCGAGCGUUAAUCGGAAUUACUGGGCGUAAAGGGUGUGCAGGCGGCUGAGUAAGACAGAUGUGAAAUCCCCGGGCUUAACCUGGGAACCGCAUAUGUGACUGCUU